rnacentral:lncRNA from 1 species
AAAAAAACACUCAGCCCCCAUUUUUUCUAAAAUUUUUUCAAAAAACUCACUCUUUUCUCUCUAAGGCUCCGGCCUUUUGGAGUUCUCAACUCCCAGUCGCACCGAUCAUCGCCUUGCCGUGCCGGCGCUGCGCCGGCCGCCUUCAAAAGGUAAUAUUUUUCUUUUUUUUUUACAAAUAAACUGCCUUUUUUAAUAUAUAUAUAUGUAUAUAUGUAUGUGAAAAAUUAAAAAUAAACAAAUAUGGAAAACAGAAGAUGCGAAAACAAAGAUAAAAAAAAUCUCCUUUUCGAUUUUUUUGUUUAUAUUUCCGGGUAAGUAUUACAAAAUAGAUGAAAAGAGAAAAAGAAAAGAAAAAAAAAAGCCCCCUUUCAAAAUACACUUUCUUUGGCUUUUAUAGCCGAAUCUACUGCUUGUUGUUGUUGCCACUGUUUCUUGCUUGUUUCUCUUUUUGUUUUUGCAGGUGGAGGCGCAAGUGGGGUGGUGAUGGACGUUGGCGGCGACGACGUGACCGUGGCGGCGUCAGAAGGUCAAGGGUCAGAAGGCUAGAGGCGGCGUCUAGGUGCGGCGCUAGGGUUUAUUUUCUGAAACCCUAGCUUGAUUUUUUUAGGGGGAAAUUGGGCUGAUUGGGUUUUAGUGUAUUGGGCUCUGGGGGUGUUUAAUUUUGGGUCUGCUGGUAUGGGGUUUGAUGAAUUUGUUGGGUUGUAUUUGUAAAUGGGUUAAUUGGGUUUAGUUUGUUGGGGCUGGGUAGGUUUAGGUGGGCAAAAUUGGGUUGUACAGGAAGGAUAGUUUAACAUGUUUGUUUCCCUUUGUCAAAUUUUUUUAUUUAAAUUUAGUUUUUAAGAUUAAUAUUUUUAAUUUUAGAUUUUCGAAAUAUCAAGCCAAUUUUUGAACUUCGUUAGACAAAUCUAUUCACUUGCUAUAACCAAGCUUAAUAUUGUAACUUUGUUUAGACAAUAGUAAAUUUUGAUUGUAAGCAAAGAAUAUUGGAUGAGUGUUUGUAAUAUUUAGGGUUCAUUAUUGGGUUGCGAUUAUCCAAUAUUAUAAGGGUGGAUUGGGCUUUAGCCAAUAGAUAAUCUGAAUCAAUAUUUGAAUUUUGUUAACAAGACUCGGU